UGUCCAGACUAUUGAGGAUAUAGUUGCGAAAGUAAGGUUCGGCCCAAGACCCGAUAAAAUUAAUAACACUGCUAGUAUUCUGAUUAGUAUGGUUAUUGCUGGGCUAGAUUGUCAGCCCUGUACCAGAACUUACCUCAUCGAUGGUCUUUUUUUGGGUAAUUAGAGAACUUAUAUAAGUUGAAGAUAGUAUAGUACUAAUGUCCAAACGACAUUUGUGUCACUUGUAGAAAUUUUAAUAUAUGACGGGUCCAAAAAGAGAGAAAAGAAACAGUCGUGAAGUUGCUCUAAGGUGAAGAUGUAGACCCAUCUGGGGGGAACCACAGCACCAUUUUGUCACGAUAUUAAUGCCAAAGAGAAAGGACAAUAGAGAAGAAGUUUCAUUGGCACACGUGCAUGAUUGGCUCGAGAGAUCAAAUGUUUUACUCGGAACAAUGAUCGACAAGUCUGUCCUACACAAGUCAGGUCUGUACCGAUCCACUGAACGUUUCACUAGGUGAUGGGAAUUAUUUAUCUAUAUAUCUAAAGGUGGGUCACAACAGAUUUCUCAACGUUUUUUAUUUUGCUUUUAACUCGCUGGCUGAACUUGCCGUUAAAGUUAGGUCUAGUGGGUUACUUCGAAAUCCCACUAAUCUCGUCUUUUUAGGUUGAUUUCACAUUCUCUUCAAUUAUUGUUGUUGGUUUUUCAGUACAAUAUAAAAGCAUUAGCUUCUACC